UAAAUUUAAUUUAAGAAUAUAAAAGAAUUAUUUAUAAUAAAGUAUUAUUAUUAAUGUUAUAAUUUUUAUUUAAUAAUAUAUUAGUUAAAUUCUGAUUAAAUCUCCGUUAAAUCCUUAAUUUUAUGUCUUCACCAGUUUAAUAAUCAAGCCAGGUUUAAAAAUCUUGAUGGUUAAGUAUAUAUACCUUUGAAUUUAAGAGCCUUUCAUAUAAAUAUUUUCACUGCUGUCAUAGGAAUGGCAAUCUAUUGAUCUUUAAGAGUUGUUAAUUACCUCAAGCAUA
rnacentral:misc_RNA from 1 species